GCUUACGGCCAUACCAGCCCAAGAAUGCCCAGUCUCGUCUGAUCUCGGAAGCUAAGAAGGCUUGGGCCUGGUUAGUACUUGGAUGGGAGACCUCCUGGGAAUACCAGGUGCUGUAAGCU
ensembl:rRNA 5S_rRNA 5S ribosomal RNA